GCGGCGGACGGGUUAGUAACGCGUGGGAAUGUACCCAGAUCUACGGAAUAGCCUCGGGAAACUGAGAUUAAUACCGUAUACGCCCUUCGGGGGAAAGAUUUAUCGGAUUUGGAUCAGCCCGCGUUAGAUUAGAUAGUUGGUGGGGUAAUGGCCUACCAAGUCUACGAUCUAUAGCUGGUUUUAGAGGAUGAUCAGCAACACUGGGACUGAGACACGGCCCAGACUCCUACGGGAGGCAGCAGUGGGGAAUCUUAGACAAUGGGCGCAAGCCUGAUCUAGCCAUGCCGCGUGUGUGAUGAAGGCCUUAGGGUCGUAAAGCACUUUCGCCAGGGAUGAUAAUGACAGUACCUGGUAAAGAAACCCCGGCUAACUCCGUGCCAGCAGCCGCGGUAAUACGGAGGGGGUUAGCGUUGUUCGGAAUUACUGGGCGUAAAGCGCACGUAGGCGGAUCAGAAAGUUGGGGGUGAAAUCCCGGGGCUCAACCCUGGAACUGC
rnacentral:rRNA from 1 species